CUGAAAGUUCCCUUUGACUCCUAGAUUUGAAGAGACUUAGCCUGCUUCCUGCCUCCAAUUGCUCUGCUAAUUUAAUCUGCUCAGUCUCUGAAGAGUCUAAAUCAUUGGCCUUUGGGGAUCUUAAGAAGCUGAGCGGCCCAGUGGGAGGUCCCUGCAUGGAGUUGUUCCCAAGCACAAUGCACAGCAGAGUGCUUCACCUGGGAGGGCUGGAGCCCGCCCUCAUUUCCAAAAGCAGCCUUCAGGAGCAGGGACCCCAUCAGCCACUCUGUCACAGUCGACGGAUGGCCAUUAGCUCUUUGGGACCCUUUGCUUUGUUACUCAGCAAAUCCUUCUUGAGUUUCCACAAUAUGCCAAGCACUGAACCAGGCCUAGAGUUUACGAUGAUGAAUAAGCCAGCAAGGACACUGACCACAUGGAGCUCCAUCUUCCAGUGGAAAGAAGCUUCUAAACAGGCGCAGUGUCAACCAUGAACUUGUUUGCUGAAUUACAGGUUGAUGGGUAUGUUGUGCUUCUUCCAAAGGCAUCCAUCUUGAGCCCUCUCUCUUCAGGUUCCCCAUGUCUAUAGUUCCGUAUCCCUGGCACCGUCUUUCCAAACCAAUGCACAGCACCCCCGUUCCCCCUAAACACACAUUCCUAGUUAAUUCCUGCUCAAGUCUUAGCUUAAAGAUCAUAUCCCUGUCCAGCCUCCCACCCUGGUAAGGACCCCUCCAACGUGCUCCCAUAGUCAUUCCAGCAGUACUACCAAGUACUUAAAAAGAAAACAAACCCAGAAUUCCUUUUUUGGUGUUCUGUUAUUUUUUUCAUCCGUUGCUUUUGUUUUCAUGAGUAGGUGCCAAAGCUGUCCAAUAGAACUUUCUGCGAUAGUAGAAAUGUUCUUCAUAUGUGCUCAGAUUUCAAUCCAAGAAAUCUGCUGCCUGAGUCUGUGCUCUAAACCACCAUGGAAAACUGCCUCCUGCCACCGAAUAAUUCAUUGCUUCCUUUGUAACUUACCUUUUCUAAGUUGUGUGUUUCUUCCUGUAUUCGUAUGUUGGCUGAGCGGGCGGUAAAGGUCAGAGGAAACUCUCACGCAAGAGGUGAUAUUGGAGACGAUGGAGAGCAGCAGAGAAGAGUUUAUCUGUAAAACAACAGAGAAAGUUCCUGCAGGUGGUGGACACUGCAGACAAGGGUUGAGAAGCAGGAAACAGCAGGACAGCGUCCAGGAGUCUCACACGCAGACAGCUGAUGUCUGAGGAAGACAUAAAGGGAACCCAACACAAAAAUUUCAUAUCCUAUGAUGUCCAUUUUCCCCUCUUUAAUGAACUGGCUUUAACCCUGCAAGACUCUUCCUUAUCAGCGUCUACCUGUGAUUCUAGCGUUUCCCCAACAUCACUUCCAUCAAUUUUAUGAAACACUGCAUCAGGGUUAUUCAGAUCAUGAUGAUUUUUGUGGCCCAAACUAACCAGAGACACUUGGGUAAGGACUACCAGCUUAAGAACUGCCUACAGUUCAGCAUGGCUGGAGUGCUGGGUAGGAGGUAGGAAGCAGUGGGGAAACCCUGGCACUCACCAGUUGGAGACCUUCAGCAAGUACCUCUGACUUUCUGACAUUCCGAUUUCUCAUCCACCUUGAGGAAGCUGUCUCAAGAGGUCAACAAAACUGCACAAAUGAAGACGCUCAACAUUGUGCCGGGAACCUGACCAGCCCUCAGCAAACACUCAUGUUCUCCCUCUGCAUUGCCUUGUAUAUCCUAUAUUACAUUUGAUUGACUGACUGAUAUGUGCACUGGUGAGAUUUUGUCAUCACUCUACCACAUAAGCACAAAACCUGAGAGAAGAACUUAUGUGCUGCAGAGGGACAAAGCAAGGAGACAUUUGUCGAUUUUAAAGACAAGAGUUCCCAAGAAGCUAGUUUCCCAUUGAAUAGAGAGAUAAAAACAGAACAGGAAUGCGAGAUAUUACAUAUGCCGAGGAUGGUAUCUCUGAGACUGAACAGAGCUGGCAUCUGCAAGACAUGCAAAGAUUUUUUAUCCCAGGGCCAAGGGAUUCUGGAAGCCAGCCCUUCCUACAUGUCAUUCAUUCUAGAGAAAUAAAUAAAUUAGACAGUGAAACAGGAGAAUCAGUAUGCCUAAUUGCAGUCUUAAAAUUGAAUUUAUAAAUAAAAAUAAGAAAAU
ensembl:lncRNA